rnacentral:rRNA from 1 species
AGUGAACGCUGGCGGUAGGCCUAACACAUGCAAGUCGAACGGCAGCACAGUAAGAGCUUGCUCUUACGGGUGGCGCGCGGCGGACGGGUGAGGAAUACAUCGGAAUCUACUUUUUCGUGGGGGAUAACGUAGGGAAACUUACGCUAAUACCGCAUACGACCUACGGGUGAAAGCAGGGGAUCUUCGGACCUUGCGCGAUUGAAUGAGCCGAUGUCGGAUUAGCUAGUUGGCGGGGUAAAGGCCCACCAAGGCGACGAUCCGUAGCUGGUCUGAGAGGAUGAUCAGCCACACUGGAACUGAGACACGGUCCAGACUCCUACGGGAGGCAGCAGUGGGGAAUAUUGGACAAUGGGCGCAAGCCUGAUCCAGCCAUACCGCGUGGGUGAAGAAGGCCUUCGGGUUGUAAAGCCCUUUUGUUGGGAAAGAAAAGCAGCAGGUUAAUACCCCGCUGUUCUGACGGUACCCAAAGAAUAAGCACCGGCUAACUUCGUG